rnacentral:misc_RNA from 1 species
GAUGAAGAACGUAGCGAAAUGCGAUAAGUAAUGUGAAUUGCAGAAUUCAGUGAAUCAUCGAAUCUUUGAACGCACAUUGCGCCCGCUGGUAUUCCGGCGGGCAUGCCUGUUCGAGCGUCAUUUCAACCCUCAGGGUCCCCGUUCCGGCGGGGAACCUGGUGUUGGGGAUCGGCCCGCCCCGUGCGGCGCCGUCCCCCAAAUUCAGUGGCGGUCUCGCUGCAGCCUCCCCUGCGUAGUAGUUACAACCUCGCAUCGGAGCUCAGCGCGGCCACGCCGUAAAACCCCCGACUUUCUGAACGUUGACCUCGGAUCAGGUAGGAAUACCCGCUGAACUUAAGCAUAUCAAUAAGCGGAGGA